GUGCUGCGGGCGUGGGGGUGGGGGUCCGGCCGGCUUCGAGGAGGGGGCCGUGCGCGAUCCGGACGCCGGCCACGCCUUUUGGCCCUGGAGGCCGCGUCCUGCCGUGUGCUCGGCUGCAGUCCCGGGUAGCACUUGCUGGAGACCCUGCCCCAGCCUUCCUUCCCUGCCGCCUCUGCAGACCUCCGUAUCCCGAUUGUCCCUGCCCCCUCCAUCCUAAGGUAACCAGCCGCUGGUCCUCUGUCUGCACCCCGGCUCGCGUCCUGUCCUGGGGGCCUGCCCCUUCUCCCACCAGAUGGUUUGCAAACGGUUGUGGCCCCCCCCCGGACCCCGACAUUUCCCUUCUGCCCAGCUCUCCCCUGCAGUGGUCAGCGUGAACCCCCACCCAGGCGGAAAAGUCCCCGCUGCUUCACCUGAUAGCGCCCCUCCGUUCCACGCCCCCUCCCCCUCUGGCGAACGACUGUCCUCCUGGAAGGAAAAACGACUCGCUUUGCUGGGUUAGACGUGCCCUUUCCUUAGUGACAGAUAAAAAUUGGAUGUUGGUGACAACAGCAGGCACCGCUAGAAAAUCAGUUAACUACCGACCCCCUCUUGUGUUUGGUAGCCAGGCCGUGGAAUAAGUGAUUGCUGUUUGUACCAGACCCAAGCUUAGUUUUGCAACCCUUUCCUGUUCUGUAAAUUCCUGUGUGCCAGGUGACCCCCUCCAAAACCACUUGCAAUGCCCUCUCUCCAGGAGCCUUUAACUGGAUGCACCAAGGCAGAAUGAUCCCAUUGCAAUCUUAGCCUGCACCUCCAGCACAGCCAGCUUGACUGUAUUCUACAUUCAGGAGCAGAGUUGUAGGUGAGAACAUUUGCAGGAGAGAAACAGCGGAGACAGAUUGCACAGGAAAGAGUCCUUCAGCUCUAAGCGAAAGAAUGAGGCCUCAGCCUGACAUGAGGUGGUUUUGAGGUCAUCCGAUUUCUGGCUAGAAGUGUGCUGUCGCCUGGUCCUGAGACCACUUCACCCAGAAUGGUUUGCAAUUUUUUUUGGUGAUGGCAUGUUCAGAAUCUUGGAUCCCUAAGUUGAAUAUGUUGGAAAUAUUUAGGAAUCUUGGAUAUUAUAUGAUUGCUUAGUAGGUGAAAUAGUAAAUUUAAUAAAAGACUAUAAAAGAACUUUGUCCUUUUAAGUUGACAUGCAUGUCUUAAGUCAUCAGCUGUCAGUAUUAGUGUCAUACUCUUUCAAGGGUUUGGGGUUCUUCAAAAUUUCGUGUUUUCCCAGGCAGAUCUGUAAUUCCUUCCUGCCUACCUGGUUAGCUUCUUUUCUUUUCUCUCUACCUUAAAAUAUGUGUUACUUGGAUCAGAGUAUUUAUUGAUCAGAUAUAAAGAAGAGGGGGAAAAAAGUCAUCAAGCGACAAUCAUACAGGUUACCGAAUUACAAAAUUUCAACCUGGAGAUCAUCUAUGUUACAAUAUUCUACCCCAAUUUAUGCAAAUACAUGUGGCAAAAUGCUGCCAGUUUUCAAAAUUAGCCAUUUUAUAGGACAGGAAUGCUAACAAGGAAGGAAAAGAGCUGUUCAUUUUCACCUCUUUGCUCCCCCUUUCCUCUCUUACGCGGUGAAUGAACUAUGUAGUAGCUCAAAGGUAGGCGAUGGGAAUAAAAAGGAAGAGCAGGGAAGUGAUUCCAGUCUCCAGAAAGGAUCAGGUUCCCUGCAGAGUUGAAAGGUCAGCUUCUCCCAUGUACCUGAGCACAGUUUCCAGCUGCGGGCUACUCGUGUGAGCCUGGACCAUGGCCAAGGGUGGCCUUGACCGUGGGCUGGACGGAGAGCGGGGGUAGCACAGUGCCAGCCAGCCCGGGAGGACCACGGUGCCAGUCCCUCCCAGCCUCGCCUGUUCCUUCUGGGGAUUCAGAGACUUGGGAACAUGCUGGGGGAGACGGAGUCUGAGGACCACAGUCAGAAACAGCUUGGAAAAGGAUUAACGGGAAGGGUGAAGAAAGUACAGGGAACUUGAGGCUGAUAAUGGCUUGGGAGAGUAUUCACAUAGGAAUUUAUUGUAAGGUUUAUUGUUGGUGAAUUAUCCAGAAUUUGUAAAAUCCAUGUACAUCUGCAGCAGACAUUCCCUAAGAUUCUUUUGGAAAGCUUUUAGAGGCUGAAGGCUACCUGUCACCCCCGCUCCCUUUUGGGUUUUGCUUUGUUGUAAGAGGAACUGGCUGUUGUGGGUUUAAUAGCAGGCACAAUAAAGACAUUAGAUUUUACUUUUGAAUCAAGUUAUAUUUUAAUCUAAAUGUGUGUUGCCUGUUUAGCUAUUUUCCCAUUACAAUUGGCUUUUUUGAAACUCUCUGUCUGUGAUACUUUCGUCAAUAGAGGUGUUUCCUCUUAGCCAAUUCUAGCCACAGUAUUGAUGAGGCGUAGGCAUUUGAUAUACCCAGAAGGAAUUAUCCAGGCAGGAAAAAACUCAGUCUGUACUGAAAUAAAUAUUUCAGAGCCUUUCUUAGAUUCUGAAAGCUGUGAGUACAAAUGAAAGAGACCCAAGAGAGGGAAAAACUUAAGAGCUUUACAAUAAAAAGUGGGGGGGUGGGGGGGAGGGGGGGAGUAAAUUUCAUAGUGAGAAUCUGAAACACACUAAGGGAAGGACUGACUUUGCUGGAGAGGUAAGAAGGCGCCAGAUGCCUCAGUGAGGGCCAUUCUGUUGUGUUUCAGGUGAUACCCUAGCUUGCGGCAUGGUCUUUGGAAACACUGAGGCAUUGCCAAACAGUGGGCUUGAUUUUAUUCUAGUAUGUUCUAAAGGGAUAUGUGGCUCAAAGACUGGCUUCAUUUUAAGAAAUACCUUGAAUAUUAGACAAAUACGAAUAAAGUUGUCCUUGUAUAACUUCAAGAAAUAGUGUAGAAUACUGAGUAUUGUGCAGAAUUUAGUGCAUGCAUAUAAUCUGUGUUGUUUCCUAGAAUCUCUGAGAAUGACCUUUUCUUGCUAAGUCUUAUGUUGGCCUAGGUUACGUUAGAAGAGCAUUUCUCUGUGUGUCUCAUGGGAAACAUACAUGCCUGGGCCAUGGCCCUUCAUGGUCCAGCACACCGCUAACAGUCCUCAGUGUGAGUGCUCAUCCCUGGAGGAGCAGGGCUUUGAGCUUCUGGGUGCACAGAGCAACCUAGAAGCAGUGAGCUAUAGCUCUGGCCCUUGUGUUUUGGAGUUUCAGACAAAACCUUAUCGGACCUGUGCGUGCAGAGACUGCAUGCAGCUGAGUGUCAUAAAGCCCUGCUCUGAAAGGUCCUCUUCCUUUACGUCUGUCCUUGCUCCGACUUUGUUCUGGCUCUGUCCCGGAUUCUCUGCUGCCUUGGAUUGGGACUUCAGUCUUGAAGGAUGCUACUGCCUCUGCACAGAAACCUGCAGCAACGAGCUGAGAGCUUCACAGUGAAUCGGACCAGCACUCACUGCGAGGGGAGUGUCGAGCACUGUGCAAGAGAAACUGAGAGCCCACGGCGCCUCCUGGUGAAGGGUUAUUUCAGAAUAAGUCAAAUACUAAUGUUUUUAAAAUAAGCAUGUUUUCUGCUAAAUUUCUGAUGAAUAAGAACGCUUCCUCUCGGAACUCUCAUGUCUCAAGAUGUCAGAUUCAUGCUGUACAUUGUAUAUUUUGAAUUAAAAUGGAGGUCAGAAAUUUGGAAUUCCCUUGUUUUGUGACUUUUGAAUUUGCAUCAGGUUCAUAAAAAUGGUCAAGAUAAUUUUAUUUUUAUUUCUUUCUGCAUAUAUGAUUGUCAGUUUCAUUAAUUCAUUUAUAAGUGUAGACAAAAAUAUCAGAUCAUGUUUUCACAUAGAAUGGAUGCACUUGACUAAUUUUAUUGGAAACAUUUCAACAACAAAAAUGUCCAUGGAGCAGCUCCAGUCUCCCUUGUGUAGCCUCAGCUUGCCUGCUGGCCAUGUCCCUCACUGGGAAUUCUUGCAAACCCAGCUCACUGAGAAGUCAUCCUGGAAAUAUCAAGAAACUCAAGAAACUCUGCAUUUGGGACUAAGUAGAUGGAAGAGCACCCUCAGGGGAGUGACAUAGCCCUUUUGAGAAGCACUACUGUUUCUAGGUGAGACCAAAUCUGCCUUUCUGAAUUGGAUCUAUAGACAUGAACUAGCCUUGUAACCAUGUACCUUUAUUGUGAGCAAAAGAGAACUCACCCUAGGCACUUCUUUCAGGAUAGUCUGGUAGAGGCGACUGGGUUCAUCAGCCAACUGGAAGUUAGACUUUGUUUAUUCAGGAUUUGAAGAUACUUUCUUUUAGUUUUUUUGGAGUAUAAUGUGCUGGGGCUUCUGCAGUGUGUGCUUCGCAAUUUCAGCGCCCCAGAGAUGGUGACCAGAGAGAGGAGCCCAAGUUUCUGUUCUCUGUCCACAGUGCUGUCCCCUCCUGUUCAUGUGAAUGUGUGUGAGGGACACUCCCAUCCCACCCAUUCUUCCCAAACAGUGUGCCUUUUACUAUUUCCCAGCAUGCCCGAUUUCAGCGCCUCGUCUUAAGGUAGAGGCAUCACCUGCAAUUCAGCCCUAGUCCUCCCAUCCCAUUGUCAGGUUUCAUCCUGCUGGAGACAGGAGCUUUGUACCUGUUUUGCUGUAAAGAGUCUGUAUCUUGCUUUUAUUUCCAUCUCCCUUCCAAAGGAGAAGGAGAACAAAUCCAGGCAUAGGGAUCAGGGUUGUCUAGGGUUUGUCUGUGGGUUUCUGUGUACAGUGUUGUAUUCUAAAGGUGGUCUUUGUUGUGGCAGUGAAAUAGCCUCCUUGGCGCUGUGCUUUGCAGAGCUCCAGCACAUUUUCCCAAGGCCAGGAGGGACCCUGGCAUCUAGCAAACGUGGGAGGCUCAGAGCUGAGCUUGGGAGCUUGCUAGGUGCUGGGGUUGUCAGGCAAAGGAGGUCACUAAAGAGACCCACCUAUGUCUCUUGGGUGCUGGUAAAAAUGCAGAGAAAGUGGAUAAGAUUUUGAUGGCAAGGUUUGUCAAAAAGUAAGACAUUUUUCAGGCCCACAUGGACCCACAUUGACUAUUCAUAUGUGUCUUCAAAAAAAAAAAAAAAAAAAAAAAAACUACUUAAAAAAAGUAUUACUCUAAAAUUUCACGUAAAGUUUUUAUAAUCAUUGUAUAUGUGUUGUGUGUAAAAGAGGCUACACUAACAAUUUUCUGACUGCUCUAAUAAAAGUUAAAUGGUUAUUUAAAACAAUAGUUUUAAUUUUGAGAGAACAUUUAAAAGUAUGACUAUUUUGACUUUUAAUGUAAUAAAUAAUCUCAGAAGCUGCUUGCGUAUGUGUGUGUGUUUUCUCCAUGUAAAAAUACUGUAAUCAGGGUCCAUGUAUUUUCUUCAGCAUGACCCACUGAACUUUGUAUUUAUGGAUUAGGGGACUUGAAAUGCCCAUUAAUCAGUUCUGUGUAUACAGUAAACUUUGAAUAAAGUAACUUUGUACUCUGAA